UUUUUUCAUUAUAAAUGAAAGCAAACUUGUCCAUAUAUACUAGAUAUAACAUCUAGAUGUGAUAUUUGACCCGAAAAGUUUUAAAGCGUAAGGUAUUAUUAAUUCCUGGUGUAAAUAAAUGUUAAAAGUAAGCCGAUUUUACCCUGCUCCCCCUUUUUCAAGCUACAGUCCUGACAUGUCACGUGACCAAAACACGCUGUGACGUCACAGGCGCAGCAAGCCAGCUGCCAGUUCAACAUGGCUGACCUGUGAGUAACGGUGUUGCAGACGGUCAUCCGCAUUUAGUCGCUCGUUUCUAGCCGUUCGCGCGUGUUCCGUCGUGUCGCAAGACCCAUUAAUAUGAUAUCCUCGAUCAUCUCGCGCCUCGUCAUAUUGGUCUUCGGCACUCUCUAUCCAGCGUACGCUUCUUACAAAGCAGUGCGCACGAAAAAUGUCAAGGAAUACGUCAAAUGGAUGAUGUACUGGAUCGUAUUUGCACUGUUCACAUGCGCAGAGACAUUCACCGACAUCUUCUUUAGUUUUUGGUUUCCGUUUUACUAUGAGAUUAAAAUCAUCUUGGUUCUGUGGCUGCUGAGCCCAGCUACUAAGGGCUCCAGCAUUCUUUAUCGGCGCUUCGUGCAUCCCGCACUAAUCCGCCGCGAAGCCGACAUUGACGAAACCCUGGCACGCGUAACCGAGCAGGGUUACACAGCGGUGUUGCAUCUCGGCACCAAGGGCGUAAAUUAUGCCACCACAGUUCUCAUGCAGACCGCCAUCAAGGGUGGCGGUGGACUGGUGCAACAAUUGAGGAAAAGUUAUAGUCUCAGUGAUCUAACCGGCGAGAAGGAGGAUGAAAAUAGAAACACACCCGAUGCGCGUGACGAGGCAGAUAUGGGAGAACCUCGUCGAAGAGAGCACGCCGGCAGAAGAGGCUAUAGUCCUCGCAGGACCCAGUCCAGCAGUAACGCGUCUCGAGUAGAGAUGUAUUUUUCGGAAGUGGAUGUCGACGUUCGACAACCAAGGCCUAGGGAACCCAUAGCUAGUUUAACAAAUAUAAGGUCUUCAGACGACAUAUCUAGCGGUUACAGCAGCGGCGAAGCGCUGCAGACUCAGCGCACGACCACUCAGGGUGAUUCCUUAGUAAGAACAUCGAGCGUUGGUGCGAGAACACGCGUGAAGCCUCGUUCCACCACGAAGAAGACACCAGAAGACAGGGACGAGGAUUUCAACCGCAUCGAUCUUCCAUGUCCCGAAAAUAUUUCCCUUCCCUCGUCCUUAAAUAUCCUUACUCCCGAACAAGCUGUUGAGCUUUUGCUGUUAUUUUCACAAAGUAAUAAAUUGAAUCAUUCGACAAUUGAACCUAUAACGAUUUGUGCCGAUAGCAAUAAAAUUGCGAGCGAAAGUCAAUCUGCGACGAAAAUGGAAGACACUGAAUCGUCGUCGACAGAGUCUAGCGGCGAAUUCGUUGACACCGAUGUGGCACAAAUAGACGUAAAAACAAUGCAAACUGUAGAGAUUAAAAAUAUAUCGUCGGAAAAUGUGUUCAUACCUACAGUAACGAAAAGCACAGACAAAAUAAACAUCGAUACAUCGAUCAAAGAAUCUGAUUUGCAAUGUAACGAGUCUAAGCAAAUUCAAAGUGUUGAGCCAAAUGAAAUCGAUGACGAAUCGAGAAAUAAUCAAACGGAUUUUUCCGCUUACCAAGAACCCGAUGUCAAUGUUGAUCUCGAACGAAUAACUGGCGAAAUUUGUCAACAAAAGUUCGAUGAGCUAAAACAAUUAUUGGACGAUGCGCAUAAAGCUAUGACAAGCAUCGUAUCUUCUCAGGAAAAAUUGAGUACGGUACCGGAAGCGAGUGUACUGGAAACAAAAGCUAACGAUUCGUCAAUCGCCUGCCCUCGCGAUGCUACACCUGAGCAUCCUACUACGCCAGGUUCAUCGAGUUACAAUCUUGACGGCGAUAGUCGUGCAGGAAAGUAUCAUAAGAAACCCGCUCCGAAAGCACCAAUAAACAAUGAAGCGUCAAUGAAUAAUGAGGACAUUAACGAAAGUGAAUCUGAAAAUGCUUUGAAGGCCACUUUAGUCAUUAAAACUGGAACCUUAAGAACGGUUCCAAACGCGGAUACUACUAAAGACAUUUUCUUGGCGCAUACGCCGAAUUCGACGAAGAAAAAGAAGAAGUCUAACAGAUUACGCGCUAAGGAGAGUUUUUCGAAAUUAUUAACGAUCCCGAAGAGCAUUUUUCACAGUGCUUUCCACAAGGAGCAAAAUGAGACUUCCCCUAAGGAAGAAGAUUCCAGUUCCUCGUUUUCCGAGACCAGCGGAUCUCCAUCAAGAUCGAGUAGCAUCGGAUCCCAGACGUUUGCUGAUGCCUCCGCAAAAUUAUCAACUUCAAAACAGGAAAUGGACGUGGAGGAGAUUCCACUGAGACUGGAGUGUAAUGACAAUAUCAAAAAUCCAAAUAAAGGUAGUAUUUAUCCUUCUGAUGCAAAACUGAAGACUGAAAUCGUCUCUUCGAAUGAAGCCAAAACAAAUGUUUAUAAAAUUGAAAAUAUUGAAGUGGGAGACGAUGCAAAGAAUGUGAAAAAUUUCGAAAAGGGCGAAAAGAAUGUUGAAAAUAAAUGUGACUUGGAAAUUCGUGAGAUGUCACAAACGUCACCUCGUGGUGGCAGAAAAGAAAUUAUUACCGAUAUUUAAAAGCUACAUUUCUAAACAGAGAAUCAUUUUCUUUGCGUUAAAAUUGCAUAUGUUUGCUUAUACCUUUGAAAUAUAAGAAGGGCUUGUUCCUUUUUUAUCCCAUUUCUAUCCAUUUCAUUCCAUUUCUUCAUAAAUAUUUUAUCCUUAUUGGAAAUCCGGACAGAAGAGAUGGACUGAUCCAUUCAGAUCAUUACGAGUUUCGCUACCCUGCCUCGCAGUAAGAAGAUCAGUAAGAAGAAGGUGGCAUGAAACCUACCAGCUGCUGACCACAUUAGAGAAGAUUAUAAUGAUUCUUUCUAAUUUUUUCUAAUGGAAGCAGAAUAUCUCCAUCGGUGUGCGAAUCUAAUUUUGCACAAACCAGGUAUACUAUUGGUCAGCAGCGAAUAUCAGUUAGGGCGAUACAUGCAAUGUAUACAAUUUAACAUCUCUAGCACCUCCUCCCUGUCCAGUAUUUCUUAAUUUAGCUUUUUGUCCAUCAAUUUUAUUUAUUAAUUAUUAGUUUUAUUACUCGGAAAAAAAAUUGUCUUUUCUAGAUACACGCGGAAAUGAGAGGAAGGGAGGGAAAAACGUUCCGACAGCUUUUUUCAUUUUUUAGGGAAACAAAAAUAAUAAUAUUUAUAUCGAACUCCGAUCACGCCGGGUCAGGUUACACCGUUGUUCACAAUCAUCCCGAAAUGUGUUAGACAUUCAGUAUUUUCCCCCGUGUAUACCUUAAAACUCUCUCGAGAGUUCAGUCUAGCUUUUAUAUGCUAACGUUUGGUAGUGCUGUUGUAGUAGGGAGGACUUGAUACAUAUUGCACGCAGUAUAUCUGCUUUAAGAAUAAGCUUUGAUUAUAUGUAAUAAAACUUUGCCAUACUUGCGAUGUAGUCGAGUGACGUAGAAUAAUUCGUUAACGGAAUCAACGAAACGCUGAUUCCCGGCAAGACGACACGGGGCGAUCGUCGCGAACAAUAAAGGAGUCUCUCAACCCGGCGACUGUAAAACUACAUAGAAUGACUUUGAUAUUGCGAAACGUAAUCGAACAAAUUAAGUCUAGUCAGCAGAAAAAAAAAAAGAUUAGUAGGAACUCAAGCCAUAUUGAAUAGUGCCACGCGAUUAUUCGUAUUCCCCUUUUCGUUACCAUAGUAAUUGUUUAAUGAACUGUGUUUGACGAUUGUAUAUGCGUCGCAGAAUAUUGUGUGAACUUAAUUAAAUGGCUAUUCUCCUUCGCGAGACCUGAAGUUUAAGAAAUUGCGCAGGUUUCUUGAAAACUUUAGAAAAUGAUCAAUAAUCCCGCUUAAGGACCAACGAUUUGUCUAUUGUCUUGUGACAAAUUGUUAGGCAUAUUGUUAACAUUUUACGAAGUUAGUUUUGUUGUUGCACACUUCGAGGGCAAGAUACCAAUGUACACUUUGAUAGAGCGAGCGUUCUAUGACACUGGCUGUAUUCUUAACUUUAUAUCAGUUUUUAUUGCACUUAUAAUUCAGGAUAUAUUUUAUCUUAUUAUUCGAGCACAAAGACGUCGAACUCUACUUACUUCAACUAAAACUUUUAAUUAUAUUGUUAUUAUUACAUUUUGUAGGAUGUUCUUUCACUACAGAAAUGUAAGUACGCUCGUGGAAGACUUACGCACAAGUGUCAUAAUUAUUUUGAAUUAAUCGUAUAUGUUAACAAAUUCGUAUAUAUAGUUUAUCGUGCUGUACUUUAACGUUCAUUGUCUAUCUUAAGUAAAAUUAACGUAUUGCGUAAUUAACGUAAAUUAGAAAAGAGAAAUACGCGGGACGCGGCGUAUGUCAGUUAAACGUUCGAUGAGUGAAAUACUCAAUUUGUUACUCGAUUAACGAUUGUUGAUUUGACGUGUAUACGUUCUACACGAAGUUCACGAUACAAUCGAGAAAGAAAAAUGUAGCAAAUGCUUUUGAUUCUCUUCGCGGUGUAUGCAUAAAUCGUACAAAUGGAUUCUUAUGACAAAUCUGUGUUAAAUAGAUUUGUUUAUUUAAUUCAAAUAACACAUAAUUCACCCAGAAUUGAAAUACAUACGCAUUUGCUGCAUUUUAUCUACAUCUAACGCGACUCGUUGAAAGACGUUAAUACGUACUCGUCUCGGACUUUAUAUAUGCGAGCAUAUGUGAUAAGAGAGUGAGUGUGAGAGUUGAAGAAAAUGCUCAACUGAAUCUCUAUUGGUAUUAAAAAAGCGGUCGGUUUCCUAGAUCUUAUAUAUAUAUAUAUAUAUAUAUCUUGUUCUUUGUAAGUAUUUACGCCUCCGACGCAUAAACUGUGUCCCGAGCUAUUGUGGUGCUGCGAUCUUUAUAAUUUGUUUUAUAGUUGUGUAUCUCGACAGCGUAAAAAAAGAAGCAGAAUGAAGGAUACAUUUAAAACGAAGUUACUCUGAGUCUCGGAUAAAUUAUUAAAGAUGUGAAAUGAGA